ensembl:misc_RNA
UUGACAGAACUGAAGAAUAAAGUCCUGUCUUGGCCUGCCUCAUAGAUCCAUCCAGACUGUAGCGCAGCCUCAGUGGCUGUGCUUCCUUCUACAGUCAUGCCAGUUGAGCUCGAGCUUCAAAUACAAGGACCACCCCAAGGGUGAGAGAGGAAUUAAUUCUUCAUACCCAUUCAGCAUUUGGCUUCU